AGGUGAUGAAGGCUUUCGGGUCGUAAAGCUCUGUCAAUGGGAAAGAAGUGUAUUUUGGCUAAUAUCCUUGAUACUUGACGGUACCCAUAAAGGAAGCACCGGCUAACUCCGUGCCAGCAGCCGCGGUAAUA
rnacentral:rRNA from 1 species